rnacentral:rRNA from 1 species
UACGAACUGUGCGAACGUUAUUCGGAAUCACUGGGCUUACAGGGUGCGUAGGCGGCUUGUUAAGUAGGGUGUGAAAGCCCCCGGCUCAACCGGGGAAUUGCGCCCUAAACUGGCGAGCUGGAGUGAGAUAGGGGUGUGUGGAACUUCCGGUGGAGCGGUGAAAUGCGUAGAUAUCAGGAGGAACGCCUGCGGUGUAGACGGCUUUCUGGACCAUUGCUGACGCUGAGACACGAAAGCGUGGGUAGCAAACAGG